rnacentral:rRNA from 1 species
UGCCAGACUCCUACGGGAGGCAGCAGUGGGGGAUAUUGCACAAUGGGGGAAACCCUGAUGCAGCGACGCCGCGUGAGUGAAGAAGUAUUUCGGUAUGUAAAGCUCUAUCAGCAGGGAAGAAAAAAGACGGUACCUGACUAAGAAGCCCCGGCUAACUACGUGCCAGCAGCCGCGGUAAUACGUAGGGGGCAAGCGUUAUCCGGAUUUACUGGGUGUAAAGGGAGCGUAGACGGUUCUGCAAGUCUGAAGUGAAAGCCCGUGGCUUAACCGCGGAACGGCUUUGGAAACUGUGGAGCUGGAGUGCUGGAGAGGCAAGCGGAAUUCCUAGUGUAGCGGUGAAAUGCGUAGAUAUUAGGAGGAACACCAGUGGCGAAGGCGGCCUGCUGGACUGCAACUGACGUUGAGGCUCGAAGGCGUGGGGAGCAAACAGGAUUAGAUACCCCGGUAG